CUACGGGGCGCAGCAGUAGGGAGUAUUGCACAAUGGAGGAAACUCUGAUGCAGCAACGCCGCGUGGGUGAAGAAGGCUCUUGGGUCGUAAAGCCCUUUCGGCCGGGAAGAAGGGACUAAUGGCUAAUAUCCAUUGGUUUUGACGGUACCGGAAGAAGAAGCACCGGCUAAUUUCGUGCCAGCAGCCGCGGUAAUACGAAAGGUGCAAGCGUUGUUCGGAAUUAUUGGGCGUAAAGCGCACGCAGGCGGAAUCGUAAGUCGAUUGUGAAAUCCCCGGGCUCAACCUGGGAAUUGCAGUCGAAACUGCGAAUCUUGAAUAUCUGAGAGGGUGGGAGAAUUCCUGGUGGAGAAGUGAAAUUCGUAGAGAUCAGGAGGAAUACCGGAGGCGAAGGCGCCUACCUGGCAGAAUAUUGACGCUCAGGUGCGAAAGCGUGGGGAGCAAACAGGAUUAGAUACCCCUGUAGUC
rnacentral:rRNA from 1 species